UACAGAGGGUGCGAGCGUUAAUCGGAAUUAUUGGGCGUAAAGAGCUCGUAGGCGGUUUGUUGCGUCGGCUGUGAAAUCCCGAGGCUCAACCUCGGGUCUGCAGUCGAUACGAGCAAACUAGAGUGUUGCAGGGGAGACUGGAAUUCCUGGUGUAGCGGUGAAAUGCGCAGAUAUCAGGAGGAACACCGGUGGCGAAGGCGGGUCUCUGGGCAACAACUGACGCUGAGGGGCGAAAGCGUGGGGAGCGAACAGG
rnacentral:rRNA from 1 species